rnacentral:rRNA from 1 species
GGAGUGAUCAUUACUGAGUUACCGCUCUACAACCCUUUGUGAACUACCUAACGUUGCUUCGGCGGGCAGGGAAGCCUCUCGUGGGCGGACCCUCCCGGCGCCGGCCCCGUCACGGGGGCGGAGCGCCCGCCGGAGGAAACCAAACUCUAUUUACACGACGUCUCUUCUGAGUGGCACAAGCAAAUAAUUAAAACUUUUAACAACGGAUCUCUUGGUUCUGGCAUCGAUGAAGAACGCAGCGAAAUGCGAUAAGUAAUGUGAAUUGCAGAAUUCAGUGAAUCAUCGAAUCUUUGAACGCACAUUGCGCUCGCCAGCAUUCUGGCGAGCAUGCCUGUUCGAGCGUCAUUUCAACCCUCAAGCACCGCUUGGUUUUGGGGCCCCACGGCCGACGUGGGCCCUUAAAGGUAGUGGCGGACCCUCCCGGAGCCUCCUUUGCGUAGUAACUAACGUCUCGCACUGGGAUCCGGAUGGGACUCUUGCCGUUAAACCCCCAAAUUUUUUCAGGUUGACCUCGGAUCAGGUAGGACUACCCGCUGAACUUAGCAUAUCAUUAGCGAGG